rnacentral:rRNA from 1 species
UUAAAUUGAAGAGUUUGAUCAUGGCUCAGAUUGAACGCUGGCGGCAGGCCUAACACAUGCAAGUCGAACGGUAACAGGAAGCAGCUUGCUGCUUCGCUGACGAGUGGCGGACGGGUGAGUAAUGUCUGGGAAACUGCCUGAUGGAGGGGGAUAACUACUGGAAACGGUAGCUAAUACCGCAUAACGUCGCAAGACCAAAGAGGGGGACCUUCGGGCCUCUUGCCAUCGGAUGUGCCCAGAUGGGAU